AAACAUUCAACGAGAUAAGUUCAUGGGCAUAGGGAUAGAUCUUUACCGGAAUAACCUCCAGGUUUGACCUACUAAUGUCAAGGUUCGCAGUAAUUUUUUUUUCAGAGAAUUUACGCAAUACAUCCGCUCCAAUAUCCAUCGUAGUAAACACCAAUCUAGCAACACUAUAAUUAUCUUCUUCAUUUAUUUCUUCAUCGGAAGUUACCUUACACCCAAACAAACUCAAUAAUCGUUCAAAUAUAAUGCAUGGCUGUUCAUGAGGCAACAAAAUACGUUCUGUAUUGAAUUGGAUUAAUAAGAGGUAAAAAUUAGCAGACGAGGGAAGAAAAAAUAACCUUGCUAACAGCUUAAUCACUUCAUGAGUUUGUAUGCCAAUAGGGCAAAUGAAUGAUACGGAAGUUCGAUCAUCACGGUAUACUCGAAGAAAGAACUCUUUCUUUCUAUUGCCCAGGGAAGGACGAGCAAAAAAUCUAGUAGUAAAAACCUGCUUUGGAAUAGCCUCAGUGGGCAAACUAGUUCCCCAACUCUCCGGAGCUUUCCAAGAAUCAUCGGAUAAAAUGGAAGGGUACGGUAAAAACUUCUUCCAAGGGCUAUCAUAACUAUCUCUAUGAUAAUCGAGGUCCAGGAUAUGAGCCGCAGAAGCAGGGAUUCCAUCAUCAUCACUAUUCCUGGGUAAUUCGUGUAUGCUACCUUCCAAACUAGCUGGCCAAUUGUUAUUAAGAGAAUCACGUUGAAACUCCACACUGUCACUGUCAUCAGAAAUCGGUUCUGGAAAAGUUAGAUUGGUAAAUGACUGAUUCAGGUUUUUGUCGAAAGAUUCUCUGUCCUUAUCAAUAAGUCUUCGAAGGCCUGCUUCUUUAGAAAUUGCACAAUUAGACGAGUUAUUUUCUUUGUAUGGCUUUAUCCCAGCACUACGGGUAUCACGUGGCACUUCAGACUUUUCAGAGCUUUCUCUUGCAGCUAAGGCGGUAUCCGAUUUAGUACGUCCCGUGUCAGAUAAGCUAAAGUUCUCAUCCGGUUCAUAAAAAUGGAAAAGCACGCUUUUGCUAGGUACUGCAGGAGUGCUAGGAUAGGUCUUAAAAGCUUCGACAGGUCGUCCAGAAUUACCGACAGGUUGAGUGCAAGGUGAAAGAGCUUCAUGGGAGUCAUUACAGAGAUUUGCUUCGGUUAUUUCUGGUAUAUCAUAGUUCACAGACGUCGCUGAGUCAUCGUCCUUCUCGUCAAGGUCAUCAAGCCAGGAUAUACCUGUUUUAAAAUGUUCAGGCGGGUUUGGAACAGCUGACUUUAACAAUCGCUUGCUUUGAUCCAUUAGUGGCAAUUUGCAUCCUUCCUAAGAAUCUGUAGCACCUUCGUUUCAAAAAUACCACUAUACGCGAAUUUUGGACAAGGAAAAUUCAAUAAUGGUUAUAUCCCUAUCC